AACGAACGCUGGCGGCGUGGAUAAGACAUGCAAGUGGGACGCUGGCUACUGGGUAGCAAUAUUCAGUAGUUGGAGUCGCGUAAGGGUGCGUUAUACGUGGGUAAUCUGCCGCGAAGACCGGAAUAACUCGCUGAAAGGCGAGCUAAUACCGGAUGUGGUUGGCGGUUGGCAUCUUCCGCUAAUCAAAGUUGGGGACCGAAAGGCCUGACACUUCGCGAUGAGCCCGCGGCCUAUCAGCUAGUUGGUGGGGUAACGGCUCACCAAGGCUAAGACGGGUAGCUGGUCUGAGAGGACGACCAGCCACACUGGAACUGAGACACGGUCCAGACACCUACGGGUGGCUG
rnacentral:rRNA from 1 species